rnacentral:rRNA from 1 species
CAGCCGCCGCGGGAAUACAGAGGGUGCAAGCGUUAAUCGGAAUUACUGGGCGUAAAGCGCGCGUAGGUGGUUUGUUAAGUUGGAUGUGAAAUCCCCGGGCUCAACCUGGGAACUGCAUCCAAAACUGGCAAGCUAGAGUAUGGUAGAGGGUGGUGGAAUUUCCUGUGUAGCGGUGAAAUGCGUAGAUAUAGGAAGGAACACCAGUGGCGAAGGCGACCACCUGGACUGAUACUGACACUGAGGUGCGAAAGCGUGGGGAGCAAACAGGAUUAGAUACCCGUGUAGUCCCUGUCUCUUAUAC